rnacentral:rRNA from 1 species
GUGUCAGCAGCCGCGGUAAUACGAAUGGGGCAAGCGUUGUUCGGAUUUACUGGGCGUAAAGCGGGCGUAGGCGGCCGGCUAAGUCGGAUGUGAAAUCCCGGGGCUCAACUCCGGAACUGCAUUCGAUACUGGUCGGCUAGAGUUCGAGAGGGGGAUGCGGAAUUCCGCGUGUAGCAGUGAAAUGCGUAGAUAUGCGGAGGAACACCUGAGGCGAAGGCGGCAUCCUGGAUCGACACUGACGCUGAGGCCCGAAAGCGUGGGGAGCAAACAGGAUUAGAUACCCUGGUAGUCCACGCCCUAAACGAUGUCUACUAGCCGUUGCGGGUAGCGACCCCUGCAGUGGCGCAGCUAACGCGAUAAGUAGACCGCCUGGGGAGUACGGCCGCAAGGUUAAAACUCAAAUGAAUUGACGGGG